CUACCCAGUAUGCAGUCACAAGGGAAAGUUAAAAAGGGUUAGGUUAUAUAUGGUAUGGUAGAGUGGUCCAUUUCAAUAUGAUCAUUUCUCACAUACCAAAAACUUUGUGUUUGUAAAGAACCUGGCCAUGUUUUUCCACAGCUUUCUUGAACUUAAAAUUUCUUUCAUUCUCACAAACAAACUACAAUCUCAAUUCUAACAAAAACACUUUCAAGCUCAAGAAAGCUGUGGGAAAUUAUGACACUUUCAGGCUCUCUUCAAUUUCUUCUCAAUUCCUUCCCUUCCAGGUACUCCAACAGGUUUGAAGCAUGCAAAUGCAUGGGUAAUGAAGGGUGAGUGAGUGAAUUUGUGCUGAGUUUGAGAAUUUUAAAAUUGAGAUUCAUUCAUUCAAUAAUUUUAUUUUCUUUUGAAGAACAAAAAAGGGUGAAAAGGGAAUUUAGUGUGCAGAGAAGAUUCCCCCGCCCAACUUUUGUUUAUUAAUAUCAUCAAUCAUAAUAAUACUCAUCUUCAUGUAGGGUAUACUGCUUCUGCCCCCCUCUCUCAGUUCUGCCACUCUCAACUUUUUUUUUUUCUUCUCUCUUUAUCAAAAACAUUACAUACAUAUAUACAUUUAAAAGUUGUUUAAUUUAAUUUUGGUCCCUUAUAUGCUCCUACAUUUCUGUGAGAAAGGUCUAAUUUUGUCACCAUCUCACCCCCUUCCCCUUUUUUUAACCACUCUCUGUCUUUCUUCCCUUCUAUACAUAUCUCUCUCUCUAUCUUUUUUUAACCCUUUCACCAUUUUUCACUCAUCCUUAUUCAAAUUAAAUCAACCAAAAAUUGGCUUUUAUUCAUUUACUGCAUCCUAAUUUUCUUCCAAACCCAAGAAUAUACAUAUAUAUAUAUAUUCAUGAUAUUUUCAAUAAAUAGUUUCAUUUGGUUCGAUUUGGUUGGUUUGAAUCUUGAAUCUAAACGAGACAUUUAGAGUGGGGGAGAGAAAUGUGAUAUGAAUAUAUUGAUAAUUGGCAAAGCUCCCACUGCAUCAAUAAAGGGGUCUCAAUUGGAGAAUCAUAUUUUUCUUUUUCUUUUACUAAUUUAUUUAUUUACUUACAUCUAUUACCAUAUAUGUCCCAAACUUUAUACAUUUAUUUUGGAAAUUUUAUUUCAAUUUGGAAGAAGAAAACUAAUGGGUUUUCAUGGGUGAUUUUAAGCUUAUUUUUAAAUAGAAUUAAGUGAAAUUUGUUAUAAGCAAGUUUAAAUUGAUUUAAUUCUUAGUUAUUUAUUUUAAUCAAUAUCAAAUUUUUUGAGGUAUAAAUUGAAUUUUCUCUCUCUUCAUUUUCUUUUUCACUUAUGCUCUCCUCCUUUUCGCAUAAUUUUUUAAAACUUCAAUUUUGUCUUUGGCUUUGCUUCAAACAACGACUCCCCCUUCCCCCUCUCAAUGUAAUGAUGUGUGAGUACUUGAUUUUGAUACAAUAAAUUUUGUUUGAUGUACUUAUAUGUAAAUAUCAUGGGUUGAAUUAUGUUAUUCGGUCAUAUAUAUGAGUAUACACUAAUUUUGAAACUUCCUCAAUGGUGUACUUUUGACUCUUACACAAAAUGAUAGUGUGGCUUUGAUAUAAAUCACAUUGAGUCAGUUUUUUUUCUUUCUUCCUUUUAUUUGAGUAAGGUACAAAUGAAAUCAGUGGGGAAGCCAUAAAUAAAUUUCGUAUGGGAGGGACACGAUGUAAUAGAAGAGAAUGUAAAUAAUAAUAAUAAAGAUUCAUAAAGUUGUUAUA